rnacentral:rRNA from 1 species
GACGAACGCUGGCGGCGUGCCUAAUACAUGCAAGUAGAACGCUGAAGGAGGAGCUUGCUUCUCUGGAUGAGUUGCGAACGGGUGAGUAACGCGUAGGUAACCUGCCUGGUAGCGGGGGAUAACUAUUGGAAACGAUAGCUAAUACCGCAUAAGAGUAGAUGUUGCAUGACAUUUGCUUAAAAGGUGCAAUUGCAUCACUACCAGAUGGACUUGCGUUGUAUUAGCUAGUUGGUGGGGUAACGGCUUACCAAGGCGACGAUACAUAGCCGACCUGAGAGGGUGGUCGGCCCAACUGGGACUGAGACACGGCCCAGACUCCUACGGGAGGCAGCAGUAGGGAAUCUUCGGCAAUGGACGGAAGUCUGACCGAGCAACGCCGCGUGAGUGAAGAAGGUUCUCGGAUCGUAAAGCUCUGUUGUGAGAGAAGAACGAGUGUUAGAGUGGAAAGUUCACACUGUGACGGUAUCUUACCAGAAAGGGACGGCUAACUACGUG